rnacentral:rRNA from 1 species
AGUUGUAUCCUGGCUCAGAACGAACGCUGGCGGCAGGCCUAACACAUGCAAGUCGAGCGCUGCCUUCGGGUGGAGCGGCGGACGGGUUAGUAACGCGUGGGAAUAUACCCUUCACUAUGGAAUAGCCUCGGGAAACUGAGAGUAAUACCAUAUACGCCCUUCGGGGGAAAGAUUUAUCGGUGAAGGAUUAGCCCGCGUAAGAUUAGAUAGUUGGUGGGGUAAUGGCCUACCAAGUCUACGAUCUUUAGCUGGUUUUAGAGGAUGAUUAGCAACACUGGGACUGAGACACGGCCCAGACUCCUACGGGAGGCAGCAGUGGGGAAUCUUAGACAAUGGGCGAAAGCCUGAUCUAGCCAUGCCGCGUGAGUGAUGAAGGUCUUAGGAUCGUAAAGCUCUUUCGCUAGGGAUGAUAAUGACAGUACCUAGUAAAGAAGCCCCGGCUAACUCCGUGCCAGCAGCCGCGGUAAUACGGAGGGGGCUAGCGUUGUUCGGAAUUACUGGGCGUAAAGCGUACGUAGGCGGAUCAGAAAGUAUGGGGUGAAAUCCCAGGGCUUAACCCUGGAACUGCCUCAUAAACUCCUGGUCUUGAGUUCGAGAGAGGUGAGUGGAAUUCCAAGUGUAGAGGUGAAAUUCGUAGAUAUUUGGAGGAACACCAGUGGCGAAGGCGGCUCACUGGCUCGAUACUGACGCUGANGUACNAAAGUGUG